rnacentral:rRNA from 1 species
AAGGGCACCACAAGAACGCGUGGAGCAUGUGGCUUAAUUUGACUCAACGCGGGAAAUCUUACCGGGUCCGGACACACUGAGGAUUGACAGAUAUACGCUACGUUGUUACUUUCGGGUGCACGUGGCUCAAAGAUGCUAGUUCUUUCAUGAUUAUGUGAUAGGUGGUGCAUGGCCGUUCUUAGUUCGUGGAGUGAUCUGUCUGCUUAAUUGCGUAUCAAUAAUAGAGACCUAGUAUACGCGUAUUACUCGUGUGGUAGUGACCCCCUUCUCACGGAGGCGCGUGUCGCACAUACGGUAUACGCACUGGUCUCAGAUAGCAACGAACGUGACCGUAUUCUAUUGUUGCAGUGAAUUAUACGUGUGCUUUACCGCACACAUUCCCACUGCUUAGUGUGCGCUGCCAGUACCUGUUGCUGCUGCGUCACACAUUAAACUAUAGAGACCGCUGUUUCUUCUUUAAACCAGAGGAAGGAUACGGCAAUAACAGGUCUGUGAUGCCCUCAGAUGUUCCGGGCUGCACACGUGCUACAAUGAUCAUUGCACUGUGCAUCUAACCCAAUGUGCGCGGACGCCACGAUACGUAUUUGCCUUCGGGCAUUUUAUGUAUUCGCUUGUGCGACUGCGCCGAACCUACUUCGAAAGUAAAAUUUUUAAGUGGGUAAUCCAUUAGAAGUAAUGACUCGCAUAGACCAUGGCACACUAUAUGUACGCGCAGGUCUACCCGGCUCGCCUUUGUGUGAGUGCAGUGCGUAGCUUGUUGUUUCGUACGUGCCACUCCGUAUUAAUUCGUACGUGGGGAUAGAUCAUUGUUUAAUUGUUGGUCUCGGUCUUAACUAGGAAUGCCUUGUACGGGUCUUUGGUUCAACAUACCACCCGGAAUACGUCCCUGCCCUUUGUACACACCGCCCGUCGCUCUUACCGAUGGAUUAUACUAUGAAUCUAUAGGACUGCCAAAGUUUGCGGGUUGUUCGCACACCGCGCUUAGUGGAAAUAUAUAUGAAUAGUGUGAUCUAAAGGAAAGAGAAGUCGUAACAAGGCAUCGGUAGGUGAACCUGCAGAAGGAUCAA